rnacentral:lncRNA from 1 species
GAAGAGUGAGCCACAGUGUCCCUUCAAGGGAGGGUGUCCUAAGUUUAGGUGCCAAAGAGUUCAGGAAGGAACAACCAAAAAAAGCUUUUUUUUUUUUUUUUUAGAAAUGUGGACAUAUGAGAUGCUUCCACCAUCCUUCUGUAGACACCUCCUCUCUUGUGGCUGGGCAGGAGAGUCUCAUCACCACCUGCAACCACGUGUGCAGAGUGGGAAAGGCUUAACUUUGGAAAAUGCAGAGUCCGUGGAACCUUCUCAGAGAAUUGGAGAUGCCAGAUGCUGGCUGUGUCCUUUACGUGUCACCUCACUGAAUGAAAUGAGUUGGGAUGAGGAGGGCAACCAUCUUUCCUUAGGAGAGGAAGACAUUGGACACCAAAGACCCGAUGAGAAGUGGUAUCUGCGGACAGGCCGCAAUGAAGUGAACUAUCCAGUGGAAACAGCAAAGAGCAAACAAUCACUGAAGUGUCUCGGCUUUAAAGCUCCAGGGUGUUCCAUUUGCCCUUUGCCAUAAAAAUGACAGAGUUGGGUUAAGGAUUCUGUACCCCUUAUUAGCCAUUAGCAUUAACAACAAAGAUGAAAGACCCCAAAGGCAAUUUUUGUCACUGAGAUCUGAAUUUAUUUCCCUUCGCUGAAUCUUAAAUUAGUAGUUAACUGAUGGCGAGAUCUGUACCAAGA